CCUGCUCCGCACCAUGAAGCGGCGGCAGCAGCAGCACGGAGCGGCCGAGCGGGCCGCGCUCGCCAUCGAGAAGCACCCCAAUGUGAGCCUUCGCUGGUUCCAGCCGGUCCCCGCCGGCAAAUCCUCCCCGGCCCCCCCCAGUCUCUAUUACCCCAACGAGGGGUUCAGCGAGGAGGGCUCGGAC